ACGAACGCUGGCGGCGCGCCUAACACAUGCAAGUUGAACGAGCGAGAGAGAGCUUGCUUUCUCGAGCGAGUGGCGAACGGGUGAGUAACGCGUGAGGAACCUGCCUCAAAGAGGGGGACAACAGUUGGAAACGACUGCUAAUACCGCAUAAGCCCACGACCCGGCAUCGGGUAGAGGGAAAAGGAGCAAUCCGCUUUGAGAUGGCCUCGCGUCCGAUUAGCUAGUUGGUGAGGUAACGGCCCACCAAGGCGACGAUCGGUAGCCGGACUGAGAGGUUGAACGGCCACAUUGGGACUGAGACACGGCCCAGACUCCUACGGGAGGCAGCAGUGGGGAAUAUUGCACAAUGGGGGAAACCCUGAUGCAGCGACGCCGCGUGGAGGAAGAAGGUCUUCGGAUUGUAAACUCCUGUUGUUGAGGAAGAUAAUGACGGUACUCAACAAGGAAGUGACGGCUAACUACGUGCCAGCAGCCGCGGUAAAACGUAGGUCACAAGCGUUGUCCGGAAUUACUGGGUGUAAAGGGAGCGCAGGCGGGAAGACAAGUUGGAAGUGAAAUCCAUGGGCUCAACCCAUGAACUGCUUUCAAAACUGUUUUUCUUGAGUAGUGCAGAGGUAGGCGGAAUUCCCGGUGUAGCGGUGGAAUGCGUAGAUAUCGGGAGGAACACCAGUGGCGAAGGCGGCCUACUGGGCACCAACUGACGCUGAGGCUCGAAAGUGUGGGUAGCAAACAGGAUUAGAUACCCUGGUAGUCCACACUGUAAACGAUGAUUACUAGGUGUUGGAGGAUUGACCCCUUCAGUGCCGCAGUUAACACAAUAAGUAAUCCACCUGGGGAGUACGACCGCAAGGUUGAAACUCAAAGGAAUUGACGGGGGCCCGCACAAGCAGUGGAGUAUGUGGUUUAAUUCGACGCAACGCGAAGAACCUUACCAAGUCUUGACAUCCUGCGACAGUGCUGGAAACAGUACUUUCCUUCGGGACGCAGAGACAGGUGGUGCAUGGUUGUCGUCAGCUCGUGUCGUGAGAUGUUGGGUUAAGUCCCGCAACGAGCGCAACCCUUAAGCUUAGUUGCCAUCAUUAAGUUGGGCACUCUAAGUUGACUGCCGGUGACAAACCGGAGGAAGGUGGGGAUGACGUCAAAUCAUCAUGCCCCUUAUGAUUUGGGCUACACACGUGCUACAAUGGACAAUACAAAGGGCAGCGAAACCGCGAGGUCAAGCAAAUCCCAUAAAGUUGUUCUCAGUUCGGAUUGUAGUCUGCAACUCGACUACAUGAAGCUGGAAUCGCUAGUAAUCGCGAAUCAGAAUGUCGCGGUGAAUACGUUCCCGGGUCUUGUACACACCGCCCGUCACACCAUGGGAGUUGGAUAUGCCCGAAGUCAGUGACCCAACCGUAAGGAGGGAGCUGCCGAAGGUGGAGCCGAUAACUGGGGUG
rnacentral:rRNA from 1 species